UCUCCAAACAACUGAUUAUACCCUUCAUCGAAUGUAAGAAUCGGGAGUCCCUGUUCAGACCCAGAAGCAAGAACAGAAACCAGAGCCAAAACCAAAAACAAAGAACAACCCAGAUAAGUUAACUUCAUCCCCAUCACCAAGUUUGUGUUC